rnacentral:rRNA from 1 species
CGCGUAGGUGGCCUUCUUAGUCAGACGUGAAAUCCCCCAGGCUUAACCUGGGAACUGCGUCUGAUACUGGAAGGCUCGAGUUCGGGAGAGGAAUGUGGAAUUCCAGGUGUAGCGGUGAAAUGCGUAGAUAUCUGGAGGAACACCGGUGGCGAAGGCGGCAUUCUGGACCGAAACUGACGCUGAGGCGCGAAAGCCAGGGGAGCAAACG